AUAUCAAUAAGCGGAGGAAAAGAAACCAACAGGGAUUGCCUUAGUAACGGCGAGUGAAGCGGCAAAAGCUCAAAUUUGAAAUCUGACGCAAGUCCGAGUUGUAAUUUGAAGAAGGUAAUUUUUGGGGAGAUGUUGACAAAAGUUCCUUGGAACAGGACGUCAUAGAGGGUGAGAAUCCCGUUUUGUUGACCUCUCUCUCCUUGUAAAAUGCUUUCGAAGAGUCGAGUUGUUUGGGAAUGCAGCUCUAAGUGGGUGGUAAAUUCCAUCUAAAGCUAAAUAUUGGCGAGAGACCGAUAGCGAACAAGUACAGUGAUGGAAAGAUGAAAAGAACUUUGAAAAGAGAGUGAAAAAGUACGUGAAAUUGUUGAAAGGGAAGGGUUUUAAGGGAGACAUGGGAGGUAACGAACAAUUUUCCUUCGGGGAGGUGCACUCGUUGCUUUCUGGGCCAAUAUGGGUUUGAAGAGUGGGAUAAAAGGAUAGGAAUGUGGCCACUUGUUGGUGUUAUAGACUAUCCCAAUACCACUACUUCGGACCAAGGAACGCGAUUCUAGGAUAUUGGCGUAAUCCG
rnacentral:rRNA from 1 species